AGCAUGUCAUUUUAGCAGGCUAUCUUUUUGGUUGUGAAUGAAUUUUAAACAUGUAUUGCAGUGACAGGUGGCUGUAGAGACAUGUACAGUAAAGGUGAGUGACCUGCCCACGGACACAUCUGUUUCCUUUAAGACUUUCUUUGUCUUAGUGUAGGUUGAACCUCCUUUUGUCUGCUCUGCUCCGCCCUCCCCUGCUGCCAGUCUCUACCUGUGAUUAGCCUCCACCUACACCUGCCUCUCACCUGCCUCCCCAACAAUCAGCCUCAUCUCUCACACCUGUUUCCCUGGCUAUAUAUACCUGUCUCUCCCAGUCAGGUCAGACGAUGUGCCCUGAUUUACAGGUGCCUUUGAACCUUGUGUUUUGAUUAUACUUGUUACUUUGGUUUAGUUUUUUUUUUUAAGAUUUGAUCUUACUGUUUUGUUUUUGUUUUUUUUCAUUUAAAGAAAUUACUUUUUUUGUUCGUUUGAGUUGUGCCUUUGGGCUCUGCCUCCUGAGACUCCAAUGACACCCACACACAGAUUUCAUUGUAAUGAAUUCAGAAUGUUAUGGAAGUAAAACCACAAUGAAUUGAAAGGAACAGUCAGAAGUGAACUCUGAACUCAUCACUGCCUCUAGUGGCUGUAUUGCUGAACAACCAUACUAAAUCCCUUCACAGCGUGAGGACUCCCAUGAAAUGCAUCCAAAAGACCUAAAAGCUGCCAAUCUCGCUGCUCCGUGAUGUCUUGUGUGCGUAGCUCUUGGCGCAGGAUGAACUUGUCACUUUGAUCAUCUGAAAGGCAGGCGCCCCCUGCUGUGUCAGACAUUACUACCUGCAAUUCUGAGGAGCCAUAAAGACUAUGGACUCCCUGGUCCUUGAAAUGGGACAUUAAGACAGAAUCAUCCUUGGUAAGUUGUAGUGAUAUCGAGGUGCUUUCUUUGCUGGGAGACGGGCCGGGUCUGAGUGUGUUUGGAUAGCUUUUAAAGUACCUAAUCUUACAGUCUAAGGUUGCUGUAAAUGAGGUGUUUGCUGCUUUUCUCAAUGAGACGUUACAUGAGAAGAGCACCGUGACCUGCCAGGACUGUUAAACCAUUCGACUGUACGGUUCCAACGAGCCUGAGCUCUGGCCAGAUGCCCGCUGCAGUACAGCCAACGCAAACGGUUGUAUUGUUAACUUUACAAGACCUUCAGCUAUUUUGACCUAUUCAUUUACAUGAUAAUCUGGGAACACUGACCUGCAAAAAUGUUGUUAAAUUACCCAGAUAUGAAGCACAACCAGUGUUUUGAGUUAGUUUCCCUCUCUGUUUAUACUUGUGGAAUGUACUCGUUACAUACGUGUUCCUACACAGAUGGAGUACACAUGCUGUGGCCACAUACAUCUGGAGCUUUGUGAUUCAUUAGUGCAGGGUGUCAAACUCAAAUUCACUGUGGGACUAAAUUAAAAACUGGGCCAAACUUAAUGUUUAUUGAAAAGUUGACAACAAUCGUUCAUGUUUUCUCUUCUCUCCAGAUCUGUAAUGUAGAGUUUGUUCAUGUGGAAACAAACUGUAGUUUUGCGUAAACAUUGAAUCUGGAACAACCAAAGGUUAAUAUUAUAAACACAUGACAAAUUAAAUUGGAAAUGAAACACACAUCAGUGGUAGUUGUUCCUUAUUAUGUCUUUAUCUGUAGCCUUUUGAGUCCAUUUUUAAUGUAAAUCUUUUUUUCACAGACCAGCAACAAAAAAAAAACCCAACAUUUUUCUGCUGUAACAUAGCACAUACACCGCUAAUACUAGAAAUCCUUCCAGUAUACAGCGCCCAUAUACUGGCGGGCCAACUCUAGUACACAUUUGAUAUGAUCUUGAGGGUCAAAUAAUUCCACUGCGGGCCAAAUUUGGCCCCCAGGCCUGAGUUUGAGAUGUGUGCUUUAGUGUUGUGUUCGGGGACCAAUUGCUUGCUGAAACCAAUGACAUAAUAAAACUUUUUUGGGACAAAAGAAGCUCUCUUUCCAUCUUUUCUUUAAAAUCUAGGGAUGCCAAAAAUCAGGCUAUGAGAGACUAUGCAUGAUUCCAGUCAGUUUUUCAAUAAAUAUUUAGUUUGGCCCACAACUUUGUCCCCGUUGUACCGUACAAAACAAUCAUGUGUCAGUGCAAACUUCAGGAUCAGAGAAUAUUUUGGGGUUUUUUUUGCUUUGCUAUACUGAGCAUAUUUAUUUAAAUUUAAAAGAUGUUUGUGUGUGUGUGUGUGUGUGUGUGUGCAUGUGCUGUGCAUAUGAAUGUAUUCAGAAUGUCAGGCUCCCUCUGCAGACCUGAGUCUCUUCACUGCUUCUUAAAGCUUAAUGCUUCCUGACUGAGUGGCACAGUGAGAGCAUCUCUCUCCCUGUGUCUCCAUGUGUCACAUAAUGCCUACAACAACCUCUCAAUACCAGUCACCCCGAUCCCCCGCCCCAUCUAAUGUACCCUCCUUCUCCAGCUGCACAGAUAUAGCCAUUUCCAUUCAAUGAAACACAAGAGCAAAUACAUUUAAGUGUAAUGAUGAACACUAACAUUGUCUCUAAUGGCCUCCCAUCCCAGCCCAGUUUUAAAACAUAUGUAAAUUUAUGUAAACCCAACAGAAGCACAUAUUUACAAUAGUGUGGGGUAAUCACAAUAUGAUGACACGGUGUGCUGCUCUCUCUCAUAGAUGCAUGCGCCAUGAGUCAUUAGUCUUCCUCAUCUGUUUUUGUUUUUUUUCUUCUUCUUCAUGCAA